rnacentral:rRNA from 1 species
GAGUUUGAUCCUGGCUCAGGACGAACGCUGGCGGCGUGGUUAAGACAUGCAAGUCGAACGAGAAGCUCCCUUCGGGGAGUGGAGAGUGGCGCACGGGUGAGUAACACGUGAGCAACCUGCCGGGAAGCCCGGGAUAGCCCUCCGAAAGGAGGAUUAAUACCGGAUGUGGCCACCCUGCGAUUGCAGGGGAAGCUAAAGGAUUUAUUCACUUCCCGAGGGGCUCGCGGCCCAUCAGCUUGUUGGUGAGGGUAACGGCCCACCAAGGCGACGACGGGUAGCUGGUCUGAGAGGAUGGUCAGCCACACUGGAACUGACACACGGUCCAGACACCUACGGGUGGCAGCAGUCGAGAAUCAUUCGCAAUGGGGGAAACCCUGACGAUGCGACGCCGCGUGGAGGAUGAAGGCCUUAGGGUUGUAAACUCCUGUCAAGAGGGAAUAAGCAAGUGAAGGUACCUCUAGAGGAAGGGGCGGCUAAUUCCGUGCCAACAGCCGCGGUAACACGGAAGCCCCGAGCGUUGUUCGGAUUCAUUGGGCGUAAAGGGUGCGUAGGCGGCGCGGAAAGUCCGGCGUGAAAGGCAGAGGCUCAACCUCUGGACUGCGUUGGAUACUUCCGUGCUUGACGACUGGAGGGGAGACUGGAAUUCACGGUGUAGCAGUGAAAUGCGUAGAUAUCGUGAGGAAGACCGGUGGCGAAGGCGAGUCUCUGGACAGAUCCUGACGCUGACGCACGAAGCUGGGGGAGCGAACAGGAUUAGAUACCCUGGUAGUCCCAGCAGUAAACGAUGUGAGCUUGAUGUGGGGGGAUUCGACCCCUUCCGUGUCGAAAUCUAACGCGAUAAGCUCACCGCCUGAAGAGUAC